UAUCUUAUCCAGACGUUCCUUUCCAGCGCGGCGGGGCGGCGCCCUUCACCGCGGCGACAGCUCCAGGUGGGCUCGCGGGAGACGGCGCUGGGCUUGGGAGAUGCGGCUGCGAGGGCUCCGCAUCAGGCAGCGACAGCGAGGCGGGGAUGCGGCGCUGCGCUUCCGGGAUGCAGCGGCGAGGCGUCGAGGCAGCGCUGCGCUCGGGCGCCACAUCAGGCGGCAGCAGCGAGGCGGGAGGCGCACACGGAGAUGAAGGAGGGGAAAAUGGAGAGUCGGCCGGGGCGAGGAGUUCGCCGACGUCGAAGCCACGGACCCCGGCGCUGCAAGCUUGCAGGGGGCGGUGGCCAUGGCCGGGAGGCGGCGCUGAGUUCGGGCGCCGCAUGCCUCCUCUGUCGCUCCUUGUUUCUUUAUUCCCCAACUCCUCUCUUGCACGUCGUCAUCUUGCCGCCCACGCAGCAAAGAGAUCGAGGAAGAGGCGAGAGUCGGGUCAAUAGAUAUGUCGCACGAGGGUGCGGCACUCCCUGUUCCAUCUAGAUCAACAAACGCAGAGGGAGGUGGAAGAAGAGCCACGACCUGCGAGCAGGAGGCUGCCGCCUAGCACGCAUCUGACUGCGGCUAUUUUAUCCAUGAGCGGGAGGUUAAGAGAAGCACAUCUCUGAAAAUCACAGUUUUGAACCCAAAGAGACGCAUCUAGACAAUGGUUGCAUCAGUGGUUCCAGUGUCAUAUACGCCAACAUGGUGGCCAAUCUUAUUGAGAAGAAUGACACAACAGCAGGCAGUGGAUCAGAGCCCAAACUCUCACUUGUUAGGAUAAAGGUGGACUACUCUGUGUUCUUAACAAUACACCCCCAACGGUUUGGUCAAAAGUAUGUUGAGAAGGUUGCCAAUCCACAAGUCAUUGUUGUUUUCUGAAGAUCAGCAAAAUGGCGCCAAAAUAUGCACGACAAUGCUUGAGGUUCCGGAGAACUCUACCCAAAUGAGCUUAAUCAACACACUGUCGAAGCUCUGGUUCCGGAAAGUAACUUGAAUAUGCAGGUUCUUCCACUGGACAACCUGGACACUGCCAUUCAUGUUUUCGUCAACAAGGCAGACAAUAUGGCAUUUCACUCUUGCCUGCAGAAGAACACCGAAGAGGCAAUAGUAGGUAAAACUACCAAUAUAUUAGACUCCACUCUACCGAUUGAGAACUGAAAAGAAAUUUCUCCACUUGAAUUCGCAGAACGAGUUGACCAUCACCAAGGUAGAUACUGCCGUCGAAGAUGAAGAUGCAAUGGUGUCAUUGUGACAGAAAUCCUCACCUUGAAGAAUGAAGCCAAUGGUGAACAAGGAUGUUCUUUCUACCAAAGAACCAGGCCAUGCCGAGGUAGUGGUGUGGUUCGGAUGAUGGUGGUGAGGCUAAAAUAUGGGAGAUGACUUGGAGUUAUUUUAAGCAUGAGUUGUGUACUGGUGUGGUUCCUUAAGUCACCCCUUUCAGGUCAAACCCCUCUAUGUUAUCGAUCACCUUUUUCAUUUUGUGUUCAGUGAUGUGGAAUUUAGUACACUAUUUUUUGCCACUAAUGACCAAUCUAUAAAAUAAAGCAAACUACAGUGUCAGCUACAAGGUACUA